rnacentral:rRNA from 1 species
UACGAAGGGUGCAAGCGUUACUCGGAAUUACUGGGCGUAAAGCGUGCGUAGGUGGUUUGUUAAGUCUGCUGUGAAAUCCCCGGGCUCAACCUGGGAAUGGCAGUGGAUACUGGCAAGCUAGAGUGCGGUAGAGGGUAGUGGAAUUCCCGGUGUAGCGGUGAAAUGCGUAGAGAUCGGGAGGAACACCAGUGGCGAAGGCGGCUCACUGGACCACAACUGACGCUGAGGCGCGAAAGCUAGGGGAGCAAACAGG